rnacentral:tRNA from 1 species
UUAACUGAAGCCAAAAAUAGAGGCUUUUCAUUGUUAAUGAAAUUAUUGAUUAAAUAAAGUCCAGUUAAA